UGCUCUCUCUCUCGCUCUCUCUCUCUCUCUCGCCCCCUCUCUCACAUCAGAAGCGCUGAAAUGCACCCCAGGGCCAAAUCGCACAGAACAACCCCUCUGAGCCAGAGAAAAAAGCUGGAAUCCGUUUGCCCUGAUAUUUCACCAGCCAGAAGCGAGGGGAGAGGGAAAGACAGAGGGAGAGAGAAAGGGAGAGGGAGAGGGAGAGAGAGGGGAAAGAGACUGGGGCAGAGAAAAAGGGAUAGAUGGGAAAACGGCAGACCAGGGCUGUAUUUAUUGGGGGUGUGAGUGCCGCGCUGUAGGCUGUGGGAUGGUCGGGAGAGUGCAAGGUGUUGCUGUUAGGUGUGGUUGGGUUUACAGAAAGGGAAGAGCAUGCAUAGAUAGGAUGGUGAAGAGGAAAAAAAGAGAGGAGAGAUGGAAGGAUUGGUCAUGCGCAAGACCGCAGGCCGUUGGAGGCAGCUUAGAAAUCUCUUACAUCUGGAAGAGCCAUAAUUCAUGGGAUUUGGCCUAACAGCCAUGACAGGCAUUGGGGCGGCCAGCAACAACUGUCUCCUGUGUUAGCAGCAGUGUGUGCGUUAGCUCCGUGUGAGAGAGAGAGAGAGAGAGACGAAGAGUGAGAGACAAAGACUAACAACAGUAUGUGUGGAUACUUGCAACUAUUUAUUUAUUCAUAACUCAGGGAGAUCAGACUCACCCGAACAAGGUUUGCUCAACUUUUAUUUGUGGAACUGAGUUUGGACGCUCAUUAGGUGCUCUAUAUAUGUUUAUGAUAUUCAUUCAUACAACAGUGGUAGACAGUAACCGAGUACAUUUACUCAAUUAUUAUCCUUUUAAUACUGAACCAUUUUAUGCUACUUUCUACUAUACUACUAUACUUCCACUCCACUACAUUUUAGAGGUAAAUAAUGUACUUUUAACUUCACUACAUAUAUUUCACAGAUAGUUACUUUGCCGAUUCAUAUUUUCAUACAAAAUAUGAUCAACAAUUAAAAUAUGAUGUUAUAGAUUAAACUAUUCAACAGUACAUAAAGUCAUUAAAAUUAGCCUAAUCUCAACUAGAUACAUUAAAAUGCUGUUUCAAAUAAUGCAUCAAUCCAAUAAUACGUUUAUAAUAUGUUUUUAUAAUAGUAUAUGAUACUUUUGAUAUUUUUAGUACAUUUUUACUUAAGACAGAAUUUUGAAAGCAGAAUUUUACUUUACUUGAAGAGUAUUUUUACAUUGUGGUAUUGCUACUUUUACUUUAGUAAAAGUCCUGGAUAUUUCUUCUACCACAACUAUUAUUAAAUUGACAGAAAUGAUAUGACUGUAGAGACAAUUCAGUGAAAAGAAAAAUACAGUAGUGUUUUUCCUAAACAUAGACAAUUUUUAAGAUGACCUACAAUAUUGUACAUACAUAACUAUCUCUGUGCACAAAUGUUUCUACACUUCUGUACACACAUACAUGCGAGAGACAUAAACCGACUUGCAGCAGAAAAAGCAGUGCCGUCUGUGUGUUUCAUGGCGUGCCAGAGGCUCCCUGUGUCGGCCCUAAAUAUUACACACAGACAGUAGCUAUCACUUCCAAGCCUGAAAUCCCACAUUCCACAUUCCUGAUUCCAGCGGCUCGCCUGCUAAGCUGGGCACCACAUGAAGAGCCAUUGUUAGAGAGAGAGGGGUCAUGUAUCUCUCUCGCUCUCUGUCUGUCUGUCUGUGGCUCUCUCUCAGCCUUCCUACUGUCUCUCGGUUGGUCUCUCCACCCAAAUAUCUCUCGCUGUCAUACUCUCCGUCUGUUACUCUCUUGCUCCGUCUAUCUUUCUAUUUCUCCCUCUGCCGGUUUAUCUUUAUCUCUCUUACUUAUUCCUUCUCUCCUCCACUGUGCUUUGUCGCCCACUCUCCCACUCAGUUUUUCUACCGUCCUGCAUUUGCUUGUUUUUUUCUUUCUGUACCUUGUCUCCUACUGAUGCUGCUUGUGGCUGUCCUUCUCUCUACAAGACUCUUAGUUUGCUUUCUGUUUUUUUUCUCCUUUGUCUAUCUCUCUGUAUCCUGCUGUCUGUCUCUCUGUCUCUCUCUCCCUCUGUGUCUCCAGAUAUUCAUGUAGAGAUUUUCUCACAUGUUAGAUAUAGAUUUACGACCCUAGCCAGAUCCCCUUGGCCACUAAAUUUGAUACCAUCCACUAAGCCACAUUGUUUUUUUGUGUGUUUGGGCUUGUUGUGUGUGACUGUGGGUAAAUAUAUGUGUGUGUGUGUGUGUGUGUGUGUGUGUGUGUGUGUGUUCAUGCAUUACAAGGUGGAGGCGGGUGACUUUUAAAGGGUUAGCUUGGGUACGGUAAGCGCAGAGGAGGAAUUUACAGUUUAUUGAAGCACAGCAGCCAGGUGUGUGUAUAUGUGUGUAUGUGUGCGUGCGUGCGUGCGUGCGUGCGUGCGUGCGUGCGUGCGUGCGUGCGUGUGUGUGUGUGAAAUAGAGAGAGAGAGAGAAAGAGUGCCUGUGGGUGCCAGGUGACCAGGCUAACCUCUUGGCUGGUGUUUUGGAUUUAGCCUUUGGAUAGCGGUGAAAAAUAAAAAUGGAAUGCUUUUUCAAUUACAGAUCAGAAAGAGACUGAACAAAGGCAGGAGUAAAAGAAAAGAUGAGUUAUUGGGAUCUAACAUAUCAAGGUUUUUCUGACAGACACAUUCUUAAAAUCAGAGUGCAUUAAUUUGGACUUUCAGAACAUUUUGUACUUGAACAUUUGGAGAGUACUGCGGAUCCCCGUAAUUCUGUUGAAAUGAUUUAUGUCAUUUUAAGACGUUGUUGUAUUUUAAGAUAUUAUGAAUGGGUGUCAUGAAUAUUUGUAUAAAACAAAGAAGUGAGAAAAAUAUGGGGGUAAAAAAUACUUUUUUCCUCUUCUGCUUUUGUUUUUCCUUGCAACUCGUCUAAUAAUCGGAGCUUCUCAUGCACUUUGACAUCACAUUAUUGAGCUGUGUUAUAUUUGAGAACUCAAACAUGCACGCACACAUAAGUGCGAAAAUAGAACAUGAACGGAAUAGAAUAUGAAGACAGACAAACACCUGUGGAAGACAGUCACUGUUAUUGUGUUUUUGUUGUGCGUGUUAUUUAUUCUGACAGUAGUCAGUUUAAAGGUAGUCGUCCUCUGCCAUGCAUAUUUUAUUGGCUGUAGGUGAUAUUUGUUGUGUAUUCAUGUCUGUUUGUUUGAAUCCUCCUUUCCUUCAACCCAUUCCACAAGUUGUCAUGGGUGAGGCAUUUGAAAAUGCCAUUGUCGAGUACCGAGGAUUGUAAUAUUGUUGUUUGUCUGUGUGAUGUGAGAUGGUAUUCGCCUUUUGAUGUUUGGCUUGGAAGAAAUACACAAAAUAAAAGCCUUGCGAGAUAAAGGUGUGUUUUUGCACAUGUUUGCGUGUGCGUGUGUUCCCUCAAACUGCUUAUCUGUCAGUCAGAGUGUGUGCAAAUUGUUUGCGCUAGUGCAUGUGUUUGCAUGCAGGUAUCCCGUGUGUGUGUGUGUGUGUGUGUGUGUGUGUGUGUGUGUGUGUGUGUGCAUCCACAUCCACAUCUAAAAGCCAUAUCUGGCUUCAGAUCAAAUGGUGUAUGAAGGAGGGGAAUGACAGAGAGAGAAAGUGAUAGCUCUUUAAUGUUACCUAUCCACUCUCAAACCCAAAUAUAAGACCAAGAACACACGGAAUAGGCAAGUGUGUUUUAGGGGAAAAGGAGUGACAUGAAACACUUAUGUAGAAAAGCUCUGAACACGACGUUGGCAUUGUAGCAGAGGGGAAAAUGUCUCACCAAACAGAAAGAAAGAGGGUAAAUUGGAUGGAAGGAAGAGAGAAGGCAGGGGCACAGAAUGAAACAGCGACAUGCACUUUAUUGUUUGUUUGUGCACGUCAAGGUACAGUGAUAUUCUGUUUUUGACUGAAUACCAACUAUUUUAUCCAACUCACCUUUUUCUUGUUCUGUUCCGUGGUGUCUAAACUUUCACUGUCAUCACGGUGUGGUUAAAACUUAUCAUGACUGCAUUCCAUACAGUUUUGUUAAUUCAUGAUUUCACUGAAAUUACUGCAUUAGUGUUUCUGGGUAAUACAUUUUACAUGUAAAUAAUUUUUGUGCUUGACUGGAAUUAACUUGUUGGAGAAAAUAUACUUACAUUACAUUGUUUUAACACCAGAAGAAUAUAUAUUUUUGCCUUUUUUCUUUAUCUUUGCCCUCCCUGUUUAUCCUCUUUUUCUAGCAGGUAUGUAGCCUGAGCUGAAAGGAUGAAAAUAUUUCCUGUGUACUCUCCUGCAUCACAUCCCUUUCCUCUCUUGAUCCUUGUCUUUCACUCUCUUUUCUCUCUUGCUCUCUUUCUCCUCCUAAAUCUGAACAACUGCUUGCUAUGACACACAUGAUAAUAAUAAAGGUAUUUCUAUCCUUCCUA